GACUCUGCGAGCACCGCUCCCGCCCGGUCAGGGGCAGGUCCCGCGCCCGCCGCCUGCGGGACCCGAACCGGCGUCUUGAGAAGCCCGGCCCUCCUCCCUCCUCUCUCGCCCCGCGCCCGCCGCGAGCGAUGCCCCGAGACCCAGCCCACGCCUAGAGCGGGCAGCGGCCUGGCGGUGGGGUCGAAAGCUACGGCACAGAGCCGUGCCUGAGUCGGAAAGAAGCCUCGGCGGAAGCGGAAGCGGAAGCGGAGAUGGCCGCAGCGGAGCGGGCAGGGGCCGUGUGUGACCCUGGCCGGGUCAUUUCCGUCGGGCC
rnacentral:lncRNA from 1 species